rnacentral:rRNA from 1 species
UGUCCAGACUCCUACGGGAGGCAGCAGUGGGGAAUAUUGGACAAUGGGGGAAACCCUGAUCCAGCGACGCCGCGUGAGUGAAGAAGUAUUUCGGUACGUAAAGCUCUAUCAGCAGGAAAGAAAAUGACGGUACCUGACUAAGAAGCCCCGGCUAACUACGUGCCAGCAGCCGCGGUAAUACGGAGGAUGCGAGCGUUAUCCGGAUUUAUUGGGUUUAAAGGGUGCGUAGGCGGACGCUUAAGUCAGCGGUAAAAUUGCGGGGCUCAACCUCGUCGAGCCGUUGAAACUGGGUGCCUUGAGUGGGCGGGAAGUACGCGGAAUGCGUGGUGUAGCGGUGAAAUGCAUAGAUAUCACGCAGAACUCCGAUUGCGAAGGCAGCGUACCGGCGCCCAACUGACGCUGAAGCACGAAGGCGCGGGUAUCGAACAGGAUUAGAUACCCGAGUACAG